UAGGUGAUCUGCCCCGGGAUUGGGAAUAGCUCAUGGAAACAUGGGGUAAUACCGAAUACGUUCCGAUUUUCAUGGAAAUCGGAGGAAAGGCGCGUUUGCGUCGUCCUGGGAUGAGCCUGCGGCGUAUUAGCUUGUUGGUGAGGUAACUGCUCACCAAGGCGAUGAUACGUAGCCGGCCUGAGAGGGUGAUCGGCCACACUGGGACUGAGAUACGGCCCAGACUCCUACGGGAGGCAGCAGCUAAGAAUCUUCCGCAAUGGGCGAAAGCCUGACGGAGCGACGCCGCGUGGGUGAAGAAGGCCUGAUGGUUGUAAAACCCUUUUUGUGCUGAGGAAUAAAGUAGGGAGGAAAUGCCCUGCUGAUGACGUUAAGCGCAGAAUAAGCCCCGGCUAAUUACGUGCCAGCAGCCGCGGUAACACGUAUGGGGCGAGCGUUGUUCGGAUUUAUUGGGCGUAAAGGGCGCGUAGGUGGCUAUGCAAGCUUGGUGUGAAAGACUACAGCUCAACUGUGGAAUUGCGCUGAGAACUGCAUGACUAGAGUUCCGGAGGGGAAGCUGGAAUUCCGGGUGUAGGGGUGAAAUCUGUAGAUAUCCGGAAGAACACCAGAGGCGAAGGCGAGCUUCUGGCCGAGAACUGACGCUGAGG
rnacentral:rRNA from 1 species